rnacentral:rRNA from 1 species
GUGGGGAAUAUUGGACAAUGGGGGGAACCCUGAUCCAGCCAUGCCGCGUGUGUGAAGAAGGCCUUUUGGUUGUAAAGCACUUUAAGCGAGGAGGAGGCUACUCUAGUUAAUACCUGGGGAUAGUGGACGUUACUCGCAGAAUAAGCACCGGCUAACUCUGUGCCAGCAGCCGCGGUAAUACAGAGGGUGCGAGCGUUAAUCGGAUUUACUGGGCGUAAAGCGUGCGUAGGCGGCUUUUUAAGUCGGAUGUGAAAUCCCUGAGCUUAACUUAGGAAUUGCAUUCGAUACUGGGAAGCUAGAGUAUGGGAGAGGAUGGUAGAAUUCCAGGUGUAGCGGUGAAAUGCGUAGAGAUCUGGAGGAAUACCGAUGGCGAAGGCAGCCAUCUGGCCUAAUACUGACGCUGAGGUACGAAAGCAUGGGGAGCAAACAGGAUUAGAAACCCGAGUAGUCC